CUAUACAUGCAAGUCGAGCGAACAGACGAGGAGCUUGCUCCUCUGACGUUAGCGGCGGACGGGUGAGUAACACGUGGAUAACCUACCUAUAAGACUGGGAUAACUUCGGGAAACCGGAGCUAAUACCGGAUAAUAUAUUGAACCGCAUGGUUCAAUAGUGAAAGACGGUUUUGCUGUCACUUAUAGAUGGAUCCGCGCCGCAUUAGCUAGUUGGUAAGGUAACGGCUUACCAAGGCAACGAUGCGUAGCCGACCUGAGAGGGUGAUCGGCCACACUGGAACUGAGACACGGUCCAGACUCCUACGGGAGGCAGCAGUAGGGAAUCUUCCGCAAUGGGCGAAAGCCUGACGGAGCAACGCCGCGUGAGUGAUGAAGGUCUUCGGAUCGUAAAACUCUGUUAUUAGGGAAGAACAAAUGUGUAAGUAACUAUGCACGUCUUGACGGUACCUAAUCAGAAAGCCACGGCUAACUACGUGCCAGCAGCCGCGGUAAUACGUAGGUGGCAAGCGUUAUCCGGAAUUAUUGGGCGUAAAGCGCGCGUAGGCGGUUUUUUAAGUCUGAUGUGAAAGCCCACGGCUCAACCGUGGAGGGUCAUUGGAAACUGGAAAACUUGAGUGCAGAAGAGGAAAGUGGAAUUCCAUGUGUAGCGGUGAAAUGCGCAGAGAUAUGGAGGAACACCAGUGGCGAAGGCGACUUUCUGGUCUGUAACUGACGCUGAUGUGCGAAAGCGUGGGGAUCAAACAGGAUUAG
rnacentral:rRNA from 1 species